AUUGAACGCUGGCGGCAUGCCUUACACAUGCAAGUCGAACGGUAACAGGUCUUCGGAUGCUGACGAGUGGCGAACGGGUGAGUAAUACAUCGGAACGUGCCCGAGAGUGGGGGAUAACGAAGCGAAAGCUUUGCUAAUACAGCAUACGAUCUCAGGAUGAAAGCAGGGGACCGCAAGGCCUUGCGCUCACGGACAGGCCGAUGGCGGAUUAGGUGGUUGGUGGGAUAAAAGCUUACCAAGCCGACGAUCUGUAGCUGGUCUGAGAGGACGACCAGCCACACUGGGACUGAGACACGGCCCAGACUCCUACGGGAGGCAGCAGUGGGGAAUUUUGGACAAUGGGCGCAAGCCUGAUCCAGCCAUGCCGCGUGCAGGAUGAAGGCCUUCGGGUUGUAAACUGCUUUUGUACGGAACGAAAAGACUCUGGUUAAUACCUGGGGUUCAUGACGGUACCGUAAGAAUAAGCACCGGCUAACUACGUGCCAGCCGCCGCAGUAA
rnacentral:rRNA from 1 species